rnacentral:rRNA from 1 species
UACGAAGGGGGCUAGCGUUGUUCGGAAUUACUGGGCGUAAAGCGCACGUAGGCGGACAUUUAAGUCAGGGGUGAAAUCCCAGAGCUCAACUCUGGAACUGCCUUUGAUACUGGGUGUCUUGAGUAUGGAAGAGGUGAGUGGAAUUCCGAGUGUAGAGGUGAAAUUCGUAGAUAUUCGGAGGAACACCAGUGGCGAAGGCGGCUCACUGGUCCAUUACUGACGCUGAGGAGCGAAAGUGUGGGGAGCGAACAGG